rnacentral:rRNA from 1 species
UUCCGGUUGAUCCUGCCGGAGACUACUGCUCUUGGGGUUCGAUUAAGCCAUGCAUGUCCAAGGAGUCUUCGGAUUCCUGGCAAAGAGCUCAGUAACACGUGGACAACCUGCCCUCUGGAGGGGGAUAACCUCGGGAAACUGAGGACAAUACCCCAUAGGCGACGAGUACUGGAAUGUCCGUCACCCAAACGAAUUUCGCCAGAGGAUGGGUCUGCGGCGGAUUAGGUUGAUGGUGGGGGUAACGGCCCCCCAUGCCAGCGAUCCGUACCGGCCAUGAGAGUGGGAGCCGGGAGAUGGAUACUGAGACAAAGAUCCAGGUUCUACGGAACGCAGCAGGCGCGAAAACUUCGCAAUGCGCGAAAGCGUGACGAGGGGACCCCAAGUGUGGGCCGACAAGGUCUACUUUUUCCGAGUGUAAAUAGCUCGGGGAAUAAGGGCUGGGCAAGACUGGUGCCAGCCUCCGCGGUAACACCAGCAGCUCUAGUGGUAGUCGCUUUUAUUGGGCUUAAAGCGUUCGUAGUCUGUUUCGCAAGUCCUCUGUAAAAUCCUCCGGCUUAACCGGCAGGUGUGCAGAAGAUACUACGAGACUUGGAGCCGGGAAGGGCGAGGGGUAUUCCUGAGGUAGCGGUGAAAUGCUAUAAUCUUGGGAAGACUACCGGUGGCGAAGGCGCCUCGCUGGAACGGGCUCGACGAUGAGGGACGAGAGCUAGGGGAGCGAAUCGGAUUAGAUACCCGAGUAGUCCUAGCCGUAAACGAUGCGGACUUGGUGUUUCCUGAACCUCGAGUUCAGGAAGUGCUGGAGGGAAACUGUUAAGUCCGCCGCCUGGGGAGUACGGUCGCAAGACUGAAACUUAAAGGAAUUGGCGGGGGAGCACCACAAGGCGUGGAGUCUGCGGUUUAAUUGGAUUCAACGCCGGG